GCGAAGAAAAACAGCAGUCUUCAGUAUUUUAACGAGGAAACAGUUUUGGCUUCUACAAAGGGGGAAUUAUUUAACACGCUUAUAAACAGACGAUACAUUUGAAGGUAGUGGCAUGGAAGAAAAAGAAAAUAUUUGAGGUCGGCGCUAAUGUGUGAAACUGUAAUUAUUUUUACCAAACUUUCGACAUUUUGAAACCAAAGCCAUUCUGGAGGAUAACAUUGAAAAGUCUUUAACAUGGUCCAGUUAUUUUACUAUGAAAGCAGGGGCAAAUGUUGCCGGAAAGUGUUCAGUUAUGAGGGCUAUCCGACGAAAGUCCUACUUUACCCAUAUGAAGGGUGGGCUCAACCCGCUAUGAUCUCUUAUUGGUUGCUGAAGACUUACUGGUGGAGUAGAACGCGGUGCAAGAUAGUGGAGGUGACAGGCACCAAAAAGAUGGCCAC